rnacentral:rRNA from 1 species
UGGGGAAUAUUGCACAAUGGGCGCAAGCCUGAUGCAGCCAUGCCGCGUGUGUGAAGAAGGCCUUCGGGUUGUAAAGCACUUUCAGCGAGGAGGAAGGUGGUGAGCUUAAUACGCUCAUCAAUUGACGUUACUCGCAGAAGAAGCACCGGCUAACUCCGUGCCAGCAGCCGCGGUAAUACGAAGGGUGCAAGCGUUAAUCGGAAUUACUGGGCGUAAAGCGCACGCAGGCGGUUUGUUAAGUCAGAUGUGAAAUCCCCGGGCUCAACCUGGGAACUGCAUUUGAAACUGGCAAGCUAGAGUCUCGUAGAGGGGGGUAGAAUUCCAGGUGUAGCGGUGAAAUGCGUAGAGAUCUGGAGGAAUACCGGUGGCGAAGGCGGCCCCCUGGACGAAGACUGACGCUCAGGUGCGAAAGCGUGGGGCAGCAAACAGGAUUAGAUACCCUGGUAGUCCACGCUGUAAAACGAUGUCGAUUUUGGAGGUUGUGCCCUUGAGGCGUGGCUUCCGGAGCUAACGCGUUAAAUCGACCGCCUGGGGAGUACGGCCGCAAGGUUAAAAACUUAAAGGAAUUGACGGGGUCUAGCUG